UACGGAGGGGGCUAGCGUUGUUCGGAAUUACUGGGCGUAAAGCGCGCGUAGGCGGCUUUGUAGGUUAGAGGUGAAAGCCCGGAGCUCAACUCCGGAAUUGCCUUUAAGACUGCAUCGCUAGAAUCAUGGAGAGGUGAGUGGAAUUCCGAGUGUAGAGGUGAAAUUCGUAGAUAUUCGGAAGAACACCAGUGGCGAAGGCGACUCACUGGACGUGUAUUGACGCUGAGGUGCGAAAGCGUGGGGAGCAAACAGG
rnacentral:rRNA from 1 species